UGGGCGUAAGAGCUCGUAGGCGGUUUGUCGCGUCUGCCGUGAAAGUCCGGGGCUCAACUCCGGAUCUGCGGUGGGUACGGGCAGACUAGAGUGAUGUAGGGGAGACUGGAAUUCCUGGUGUAGCGGUGAAAUGCGCAGAUAUCAGGAGGAACACCGAUGGCGAAGGCAGGUCUCUGGGCAUUAACUGACGCUGAGGAGCGAAAGCAUGGGGAGCGAACAGGAUUAGAUACCCUGGUAGUCCAUGCCGUAAACGUUGGGCACUAGGUGUGGGGGACAUUCCACGUUUUCCGCGCCGUAGCUAACGCAUUAAGUGCCCCGCCUGGGGAGUACGGCCGCAAGGCUAAAACUCAAAGGAAUUGACGGGGGCCCGCACAAGCGGCGGAGCAUGCGGAUUAAUUCGAUGCAACGCGAAGAACCUUACCAAGGCUUGACAUGAACCGGAAACACCUGGAGACAGGUGCCCCGCUUGCGGUCGGUUUACAGGUGGUGCAUGGUUGUCGUCAGCUCGUGUCGUGAGAUGUUGGGUUAAGUCCCGCAACGAGCGCAACCCUCGUUCUAUGUUGCCAGCACGUGAUGGUGGGGACUCAUAGGAGACUGCCGGGGUCAACUCGGAGGAAGGUGGGGACGACGUCAAAUCAUCAUGCCCCUUAUGUCUUGGGCUUCACGCAUGCUACAAUGGCCGGUACAAAGGGUUGCGAUACUGUGAGGUGGAGCUAAUCCCAAAAAGCCGGUCUCAGUUCGGAUUGGGGUCUGCAACUCGACCCCAUGAAGUCGGAGUCGCUAGUAAUCGCAGAUCAGCAACGCUGCGGUGAAUACGUUCCCGGGCCUUGUACACACCGCCCGUCAAGUCACGAAAGUUGGUAACACCCGAAGCCGGUGGCCUAACCCCUUGUGGGAGGGAGCUGUCGAA
rnacentral:rRNA from 1 species